rnacentral:rRNA from 1 species
UACAGAGGGGGCAAGCGUUAUUCGGAAUUACUGGGCGUAAAGGGCGCGUAGGCGGUGCGAUAAGUCAGGCGUGAAAGGCCCGGGCUCAACCCGGGGACUGCGCUUGAUACUGUUGCGCUGUGAGUCCGGGAGAGGAUGGCGGAAUUCCCAGUGUAGAGGUGAAAUUCGUAGAUAUUGGGAAGAACACCGGUGGCGAAGGCGGCCAUCUGGACCGGCACUGACGCUGAGGCGCGAAAGCGUGGGGAGCAAACAGG